UGAGGAAUAUUGGGCAAUGCCCGCAAGGGUGACCCAGCAACGCCGCGUGGAGGAUGAAUGUCGUAAGAUUGUAAACUCCUGUUAGAGGGGAAGAAUAGUACCGGUUGGACCGGUAUAUGACUGUACCCUCAGAGAAAGCCCCGGCUAACUACGUGCCAACAGCCGCGGUAAUACGUAGGGGGCAAGCGUUGUCCGGAUUUAAUGGGUGUAAAGGGCGCGCAGGCGGGAUAAAAAGUCAGUGGUGAAAUCCUACAGCUUAACUGUAGAACUGCCUUUGAUACUUUUAUUCUUGAGUUCGGGAGAGAGAGACGGAAUUCCAGGUGUAGUGGUGAAAUACGUAGAUAUCUGGAAGAACACCAGUUGCGAAGGCGGUCUCUUGGUCCGACACUGACGCUGAGGCGCGAAAGCGUGGGGAGCAAACA
rnacentral:rRNA from 1 species